CUGAUGCAGCCAUGCCGCGUGUGUGAAGAAGGCCUUCGGGUUGUAAAGCACUUUCAGUCGUGAGGAAGGUAGUGUAGUUAAUAGCUGCAUUAUUUGACGUUAGCGACAGAAGAAGCACCGGCUAACUCCGUGCCAGCAGCCGCGGUAAUACGGAGGGUGCGAGCGUUAAUCGGAAUUACUGGGCGUAAAGCGCAUGCAGGUGGUUUGUUAAGUCAGAUGUGAAAGCCCGGGGCUCAACCUCGGAAUUGCAUUUGAAACUGGCAGACUAGAGUACUGUAGAGGGGGGUAGAAUUUCAGGUGUAGCGGUGAAAUGCGUAGAGAUCUGAAGGAAUACCGGUGGCGAAGGCGGCCCCCUGGACAGAUACUGACACUCAGAUGCGAAAGCGUGGGGAGCAAACAGGAUUAGAUACCCUGGUAGUCCACGCCGUAAACGAU
rnacentral:rRNA from 1 species